rnacentral:tRNA from 1 species
CAAAAUAUAGCUUAAUUAAAGCAUUUCGCUUACACCGAAAUAAUAUCUGUGAAACUCUGAUUAUUUUGA